rnacentral:piRNA from 1 species
UGAUAUGGUGGGUUUUUGUCUAUGCAGUC